UACGGGGGGGGCAAGCGUUGUCCGGAAUUACUGGGCGUAAAGGGCUCGUAGGCGGCCAACUAAGUCGGAUGUGAAAUCCCCAGGCUUAACCUGGGAACUGCAUCCGAUACUGGAUGGCUUGAAUCCGGGAGAGGGAUGCAGAAUUCCAGGUGUAGCGGUGAAAUGCGUAGAUAUCUGGAGGAACACCGGUGGCGAAGGCGGCAUCCUGGACCAAUUACUGACGCUGAGUGAGCGAAAGCCAGGGGAGCAAACGGG
rnacentral:rRNA from 1 species